UGAGGAAUACAUCGGAAUCUACCUUUUCGUGGGGGAUAACGUAGGGAAACUUACGCUAAUACCGCAUACGACCUUCGGGUGAAAGCAGGGGACCUUCGGGCCUUGCGCGGAUAGAUGAGCCGAUGUCGGAUUAGCUAGUUGGCGGGGUAAAGGCCCACCAAGGCGACGAUCCGUAGCUGGUCUGAGAGGAUGAUCAGCCACACUGGAACUGAGACACGGUCCAGACUCCUACGGGAGGCAGCAGUGGGGAAUAUUGGACAAUGGGCGCAAGCCUGAUCCAGCCAUACCGCGUGGGUGAAGAAGGCCUUCGGGUUGUAAAGCCCUUUUGUUGGGAAAGAAAAGCAGUCGGCUAAUACCCGAUUGUUCUGACGGUACCCAAAGAAUAAGCACCGGCUAACUUCGUGCCAGCAGCCGCGGUAAUACGAAGGGUGCAAGCGUUACUCGGAAUUACUGGGCGUAAAGCG
rnacentral:rRNA from 1 species